rnacentral:rRNA from 1 species
GAAUGACCUGGAAAGGUCAACCAAAGAAGGUGAUGGUCCUGUAGUUCAAAUCUGGGUAUGCCUAUCAAGUAGAGUCAGACUCGUGGAAUCUGGCUUGAAGACGGGGGGACCACCCUCCAAGGCUGAGUACUACUCGACGACCGAUAGUGAACCAGUAAGGCGACUGAACGGUGAAAAGAACCCCGAUAAGGGGAGUUAAAAGCACCUGAAACCGUGUGCUUACACAGCGGUCACGGCCCUCUCGCAAGAGUAGGGGUUGUGGCGUGCCUUUUGCAUAAUGAGCUGGCGAGUUACUCUAUACGGCAAGGCUAAGCGGUACCACCGCGAAGCCGAAGGGAAACCGAGUCUGACAAGGGCGUCAAGUCGUAUGGGGUAGGCGCGAAACCGGUUGAUCUACCCAUGGGCAGGUUGAAGGAGGGGUAAUACCCUCUGGAGGACCGAAGCCGUGAACGUUGAAAAGUUCUGGCAUGACCUGUGGGGAGGGCUUACAGUGCAAUCAUAACCGGAGAUAUCUCGUUCUCCUCGAAAUAGUUUUGGGACUAGCCUCGGUGAGCAACACGUGGAGGUAGAGCUACUGAAUGGAUUUUGAGGGCCUACCCGGCUACUCGGUCCAAUCAAACUCCGAAUACCACGUGCCAAGUCCCGGGAGUAAGUCUGCGGGCGAUAAUGUCCGCGGUCAAAAGGGAAACAACCCAGACCAUCGGUUAAGGUCCCCAAAUUAAUCUAAGUUCUUAAGGUAGUCGAAUUGCUAUGACAGCCAGGAUGUUGGCUUAGAAGCAGCCACCAUUUAAAAAGUGCGUAACAGCUUACUGGUCGAGGAAUUUGGCGCCGAUAAUUAUCGGGAAUAAGAUUAAUACCGAAACCAUGGACCGUCUUUGACGGUGGUAGAGGAGCGUCGCUGUCAGCGUUGAAGCUUUCCCGUGAGGGUUGGUGGAGCGACAGCAAGUGAAUAUGCCAGCUUGAGUAACGAUAAAGGGAGUGAGAAUCUCCCUCGCCGAAAACCUAAGGUUUCCUGGGCAAGGUAAAUCCGCCCAGGGUUAGGCGGAUCCUAAGGCGAGGCCGAAAGGCGUAGUCGAUGGACACACGGUUAAUAUUCCGUGCCCGAUGUAUAAGGUUCGAAGCGUGCAUGACGAAUUCCAAAGUUCCACGGGACUGUAAAGCGUCCAGGCCGUAUGGCCGAAGUGGGGUGGCGGAGUUUCAAGAAAAGCUGCAACGCUACAAGUGCAUCGUCCGUACCAAAACUGACACAGGUGGGUGUGGCGAAUAGCCUCAGGCGCUCGAGAAAACGGUCGUGAAGGAACUAGGCAAUUUAACCCCGUAAGUUCGCGAUAAGGGGGCCCUACUCGCAAGAGAGGGCGCAGAGAAAAGGCUCUGGGAACUGUUUAUCAAAAACACAGCACUGUGCGAACUCGCAAGAGGACGUAUACAGUGUGACGCUUGCCCGGUGCCGGAACGUCAAAGGAGCUGGUUAGCAGCAAUGCGAAGCUAGCGACUGAAGCGCCGGUAAACGGCGGCCGUAACUAUGACGGUCCUAAGGUAGCGAAGUUCCUUGUCGGGU